rnacentral:rRNA from 1 species
UACGUAGGGUGCAGGCGUUAAUCGGAAUUACUGGGCGUAAAGCGCGCGCAGGCGGCGGUGCUGGCCCGGCGUGAAAGCCCCCGGCUCAACCGGGGAGAGUCGUCGGGGACCGCACCGCUUGAGGGCGGUAGGGGCUGGUGGAAUGCCUGGUGUAGUGGUGAAAUGCGUAGAGAUCAGGCAGAACACCUGGGGCGAAGGCGGCCAGCUGGGCCGUCCCUGACGCUGAGGCGCGAAGGCGUGGGGAGCGAACGGG